rnacentral:rRNA from 1 species
GUGGAUGAGGCAUGCAAGUCGAACGGAGUUGUAGCAAUACAACUUAGUGGCGGAAGGGUUAGUAAUACAUGGGUAACUUGCCUUUAACUUUGGGAUAACGAUUGGAAACGAUCGCUAAUACCAAAUGUGGUGAGAGGGGGAUUCCUGAUCUCAUUAAAGUGGGGGAUUGCUGAGAAGCGACCUCGCGGCUGAAGAGCGGCCCAUGGGAUAUCAGCUAGUUGGGGAGGUAAUGGCUCACCAAGGCUAAGACGUCUAGGCGGAUUGAGAGAUUG